rnacentral:rRNA from 1 species
GAUGAACGCUGGCGGCGUGCCUAAUACAUGCAAGUCGAGCGAACGGACGAGAAGCUUGCUUCUCUGAUGUUAGCGGCGGACGGGUGAGUAACACGUGGAUAACCUACCUAUAAGACUGGGAUAACUUCGGGAAACCGGAGCUAAUACCGGAUAAUAUUUUGAACCGCAUGGUUCAAAAGUGAAAGACGGUCUUGCUGUCACUUAUAGAUGGAUCCGCGCUGCAUUAGCUAGUUGGUAAGGUAACGGCUUACCAAGGCAACGAUGCAUAGCCGACCUGAGAGGGUGAUCGGCCACACUGGAACUGAGACACGGUCCAGACUCCUACGGGAGGCAGCAGUAAGGAAUCUUCCGCAAUGGGCGAAAGCCUGACGGAGCAACGCCGCGUGAGUGAUGAAGGUCUUCGGAUCGUAAAACUCUGUUACUAGGGAAGAACAUAUGUGUAAGUAACUGUGCACAUCUUGACGGUACCUAAUCAGAAAGCCACGGCUAACUACGUG